CAGCAAGGCCGCCAACAAGACAUCUCCCAGGAAUCUGGCCAGUAACGUUUGGCACGUGGUGGUUGCUAUGAAAACGAAGGAGAUCUGUAAGAUCACUGAUGUAAAAUUAAGAGCAAGAUGUUUUGGUCACUUAAAUGUCAAAAGAAUCUGCAAGACUUAUUGUCAGAACACCAAGUUUGACAAAAACUUCUUAAGUCUCACCUCAUAUUGUGUAUUCUCCUCACCAUGGUGACGCUGAUCAGGCCACUGCAAU